AUUUUCACAAGCCCUCCAGGUGUGCCUGAUGCAGUCUCAAGUUUGAGAACUGCUGGCUUUUACAGAACAUAAAGCGAAGGUUGAGCCCCAAGGGAGUGGUGGGAAGUUGCUCUAAGAAGAGACAAGGUGGCCCCUCUGGCCUGUGUGAGCGGAAGGCAGCUGCGCUGUGAGCAAGAUCUCGGGAGAUGAGAGUCUGAAGCUUAUGGUGAGAGCAGCGGCCCUGGUGGAAGCGUGGUAGCCCCUAGAAGGUCCAGGAUGGAACACAGAAGCUUUCCCUUGGGAUAUUGUGGCGUGUGGAAAGAAGAGGAACCAGAAAAGAAUGUUUGUGAAGUUCUGGCUUGAAUCUCGUGCCGGGAGUGUGAAGAAGGUCCUUGCUUCCCCUUCACCUUCUGCCAUGAUUCUAAGUUUCCUGACGCCUCCCAGCCGUGCUUCCUGUUAAGCCUGUGAAACUGAUGACAAGGAACUAUUCAGCAUGAAGAGGAAAAAAGACAAAAACUAGAAUUCAUUGGAAAAAGUGUUGGGGGUUAACCUAAGUUUUAAAAUUUCCUCUUAGCAAUUAGAUCUAUUGUCCAAUUUUCCCCUAAUUAUUCUAAAA
rnacentral:lncRNA from 1 species